rnacentral:tRNA from 2 species
GGGGCGUUAGCUCAGUUGGUAGAGUAGCGGACUCUUAAUCCGUAGGUCGAGUGUUCGAGUCACUCACGCCCCACCA